GUAUCACAUCUCUCCUCUCAAAGAGACAAUUGAAGCACAUAGGAGAUCUCUUGGGGAACAUGGUCCAGCUCAACAUUUGCAAAGGCCACCUCUAUUAGAAGUUCAAAACUUUGACACAGUUAAUCAGUCAUCAGCUUCCAAUAAGGUUAGUCAAGCAACUUUCCUUGGGAGAGAUGACCCAAAACUAACUGCCUUGUUGCAACAAGCUGAAUUGCUGACUACCCUUUCCAAGAAGGUUAAUGCAGAAAAUACCAACCAAAGUCUUGAUGAGGCUUGGAAGGAGCUUCAAGAGUACUUGAUUCAAACUGAAGACAGUGGGCUACUAAGAAAAAGAAUUGCUAAUUUUGUAAUCAGGUUGUUGAAGUACCAAAUGUCAGUUGGGAUGAUAUUGGUGGGCUGGAAAAUGUCAAGAGGGAA